GUCCGAGUGACGAAGUGGUAUCGUGCCGUUCUUAUACUGUUUGGCAAAUUUGUGCGAAAUAGCAUGGUAGCAAUGCGGAAGUCGUGAGUUCGAUCCUCACCUUGGACA